CUGAGCCGUAGAGAAUCAGAAGUGUGAAGUAUUUGGAAAACAUAUUGACGUCGAAAUGUUGUUUGUAUUGACUCUUCUUGUAUUGGUUGGCAUGUCAUAUGCUGAAUAUUAAACGUCCCACCAAUGCACGUGUUAUGAAUACCAAGCCUACUGUAAAAAUCCUGACACCAACACAGGUAUGAAUUGGAAUGAUGCAAAUGAAUAUUGUUUGGGACUUCCCGGUGGUGUAGGACUCGCUACCAUGGACACAGAGACAACCUAUAAAGACGUCAAGAAAUCUAUCCCUACUGAGUGGAAAGGCAAAUCGUGUAACUGGGGAUUCUGGAUUGGAUUCAAAGACAUGAGAGAUCCACCUCGACUACCGAGACAUAAAACACAUCCCGAGUACUUUUCAUGGUUCUUUGAAAUGUGGCUUAAAAGCUUCGACUAUU